UACGAAGGGGCUAGCGUUGCUCGGAAUCACUGGGCGUAAAGGGUGCGUAGGCGGGUCUUUAAGUCAGGGGUGAAAUCCUGGAGCUCAACUCCAGAACUGCCUUUGAUACUGGGGAUCUCGAGUCCGGAAGAGGUGAGUGGAACUCCGAGUGUAGAGGUGAAAUUCGUAGAUAUUCGGAAGAACACCAGUGGCGAAGGCGGCUCACUGGUCCGGUACUGACGCUGAGGUGCGAAAGCGUGGGGAGCAAACAGGG
rnacentral:rRNA from 1 species